AACUGCUGCGGUUUCUAACAUUGUCUGCAUUUUAGAAAUCUCCCCUCUUCACGUAGCCUACUAUGUGGAUUCACACCUACAACCAGCCUAUUGACUUCAGACUGUCUCCCCCUCCCCCCACCCCCCAUCAUCAGACUCGACACAGCUUAUGUUGUCUGAUCUCACGAAUCUCACUACAAUAAUUUCACAGUGAUAUGAUUUAUAGUAAAAUUAAAAUAUGCAAAACAUGUAUUUUCAGAAAGUGUUCCUAUGUCUCUCUUCACCCUGAUAUUGUUAUAAAGUAAAACAUGUUCUGUCUUUGUUUUUACAUGUUGGUGCUUCUAGGACGACAGUGUAGUAGAUCCUGACUACAGCAUUGAAGUUUACACAGAGGAAGAUGAUAUUGAUAUUGAUGACGAUGAUGAUGACGAUUCUCCAGGCGAAGACACCUCAAGGAAGAAAGCAAGGACUGAAAGUGGAGGCAGAGGAAACCAUGGCAGGGGAAUGAAAGGCAGGGGCCGUGGUUUUCCACAACACAAAAAAAAACCAAACACAUCAGGCCAACAAGUUGUGGAGGCAGAGGAAACGAGCAGAGGAGCCAGAAAAAGAACAGGCCCUUCUAGAGGCAGCCGAGGCAGAGGCAGGGGGGGCCGUGGUGUGACAUAGGGUGGAGAGGACUGUGAUGAGGAGAGACCAGGAACCAGCAGAGAUGUUCCUAGCAGAGCAAGAAGAAGAGCAAGAGGUCGCCGGGGACGUGGACCUGCUGUUCUUACUCAUGAUGAUCUACUCAGAGUUCAGCAAUUUCAGCAGGAGAGGAUUGCCGCUGAGCAGGCUAGAAUUCAAGCUCUAGACAUCACACAGUCUCAUGAGCUGCUUCUGACCUGCCUGGAAAGGGACCCAAGCAUGCUGUUUGACCUGAUGGCACACUCACAGGUUCAGGAUGAUUCCCAAAUUAUUCGAACACCCGGGCAACCAGAGUGGUGUGUCUGUGGCAGAUGCAGGCAGAUGAUUAGAGACAUUGAGAAGGUGUGCUGCCGACAAACGCUGGAAAAUUGCAUCUCUGUCCUGCCUCACAUGGAUGCCUUCAUCUUGCAGCCGGGGGUCCUCCGCAUGGCUAGACGCAUCUGGAAUGACUCCCGAGCAUUAGAUGAUGCACAAACACCGGGGGAAAGCCACAGGCAGUUCCGCUUUUCUGCAUAUAGACAGUAUAUAAUUUGGCAGUAUGGUCAACUUGGACAAGGCCACAGAGUUGUCAUACCAAGUUGCUGUGUUUGGAGAAUACGUGAAACAUACCCAGACCCCAAUGGGAUCUACAAAGGUUUUAUCCCUAGCCGAAAUGGUAUAGAUGAGGAAUAGACUCCAGCCCAGUGUACCCUGCCCUGUGAAUUAUGUACAUGGUACUGUCUUAUUACUGUAUAUUUUGGCCAUAGUUAGUGACCCAUGUUUCUAAAUUAAAAAUACAUAUUUACUCU